AAACCAGCACCUCAAGUGGUCAGGAGGGUUAUUGGGCCUAAAGCAUCCGUAGCCUGCUUUGUAAGUUUUCGGUUAAAUCCAUAUGCUCAACAUAUGGGCUGCCGGGAAUACUGCACAGCUAGGGAGUGGGAGAGGUAGACGGUACUCCAUAGGAAGGGGUAAAAUCCUUUGAUCUAUGGAAGACCACCUGUGGCGAAGGCGGUCUACCAGAACACGUUCGACGGUGAGGGAUGAAAGCUGGGGGAGCAAACCGGAUUAGAAACCCCUGUAGUCC
rnacentral:rRNA from 1 species